rnacentral:piRNA from 1 species
UGGCAUGGCAGGUGUGAUGGACUCCCAGU